CCCCAGGCGGAGUGCUUAAUGCGUUAGCUGCAGCACUAAGGGGCGGAAACCCCCUAACACUUAGCACUCAUCGUUUACGGCGUGGACUACCAGGGUAUCUAAUCCUGUUUGAUCCCCACGCUUUCGCACAUCAGCGUCAGUUACAGACCAGAAAGUCGCCUUCGCCACUGGUGUUCCUCCAUAUCUCUGCGCAUUUCACCGCUACACAUGGAAUUCCACUUUCCUCCUCUGCACUCAAGUUUUCCAGUUUCCAAUGACCCUCCACGGUUGAGCCGUGGGCUUUCACAUCAGACUUAAAAAACCGCCUACGCGCGCUUUACGCCCAAUAAUUCCGGAUAACGCUUGCCACCUACGUAUUACCGCGGCUGCUGGCACGUAGUUAGCCGUGGCUUUCUGAUUAGGUACCGUCAAGAUGUGCACAGUUACUUACACAUAUGUUCUUCCCUAAUAACAGAGUUUUACGAUCCGAAGACCUUCAUCACUCACGCGGCGUUGCU
rnacentral:rRNA from 1 species